rnacentral:lncRNA from 1 species
CAAAACUGGACCUUCAUUUCUAUCCAGUAAAUCUGUCACAAGAUGAACCAGGAUAUAGAGAUAUAUGUAACUUUUUAACAUCUUUUUCUUUUCAAAUUACAACAAAUAUUUGGAAUUUACUGCUGCAGUCUCAAAUGUGCUUAUCAUAAUAGUGGCCGAAACUGGAAGACAUUUUUAAAAAAACCUGAAGUCAUCCAUACUUGCCAUUUAUUAGUCUUCUUGUUUGGAGCAAAAGGCUAAGAAUUCACAAAUACCACGACCUAAGCACCUGUUUCAAAUUAAACGUCAGCCUUCAGCUUGCAAAAUAAUUUUUUGAUAAUUAAGCAAAUUGCAGAAGACCCAUCAAUUGCUUUUUUUCUUCAGGGAGAAGUCAGCAGGAUAACUGCACCCUACGGGCUUCUUUCUGUGUUGAAUUUGAAAGGUGAAACAAAAGAAAAGCAAUCUUUUCCAAUCCAAACCAUGGAGGUAAUGUGUAGAAAGGUAUCCAUAUUUCAGUAGGGAAAGUGGCUGGAUAAAAGAAGCAGGACUACUCGCUCUAGAAGACAACAUAGAAAUACCGGCCACAUCCUGAGUUCAGAAUUUUGUUUUGAAAUGAAUAAAAAGCACCUAAAUGUAAGGAAAGUGUUCAUCCUGUGUGAGAAGAAUUUUCACAUGGUCCAUCAGACGCAGUCGGCUUCCCGGGGGCCUGCACGCCCCCAGCCCAGAAGCCAAAUGGCCAAAUGGCCUAGGCGCUCCUCACUCUGCCAUCUUCGCUUCUUCUCUAUUGUUCUUUC